UACGUAGGGGGCAAGCGUUGUCCGGAAUCAUUGGGCGUAAAGAGCGUGUAGGCGGCCAGAAAAGUCCGCUGUGAAAACUCGAGGCUCAACUUCGAGCUGUCGGUGGAAACUUUCUGGCUAGAGUCCGGAAGAGGAGAAUGGAAUUCCUGGUGUAGCGGUGAAAUGCGCAGAUAUCAGGAAGAACACCCGUGGCGAAGGCGGGUCUCUGGGCAGUAACUGACGCUGAGGAGCGAAAGCGUGGGGAGCGAACAGG
rnacentral:rRNA from 1 species